GUGAUUUUGAAGCGUGGAUAAGACUAACAGGCCGAAAGACCUUGAAGAGAAUUCAAAUUAAGAAGAAUUAAAAUUAUGAACCAAGAAAGGCAGAAGAAGUGAAGUAUGUAAAAAUGUACUUGUUCAGUCUUGCUACUAUUUCCUGGAGUCAAUCUUGGUUUAAAACAUAAUAAGCAGACCCUGGCUUGUCAUACCUACUUUCUCCCAGGGAUUUGAGACUAUAAUAAAAGCAUUUUAACUCAGUGGUAACUGGAUUAGAGUAAUGCAAGAACCUGCCACCUUGGGACCUCCUGCUUGUGUCUCGGCCUGAAUAAAUGUGCAUGGAAAUUGUUUUAAACUGAAGGCUGUGCAAGACCACAAGUUAUAGUAAUGUUGACAGUCUCAGCUUGGAACCUGGCAAAAUAGCAAAAAAAAAAAAAAAAAAAAAAAAAAAAAAAAGGAGAACACGGAUUGAAAACAGCUCAUUUGCUGGCAUCAAAGCAAUGCUCAAAGGUUUAGAUGUAAAACCUUUGCAGGUCAAUGGUGACAAUAUUUGCAAAGUGCCGCCAGCAUCUCCACUGCAAAUUGAAGCAACUUAAUACAAAUCCUUGCUGCAAAUCUAAAGCAACUUGAUUUCUUUUCCAGCCUCUAGUACUCAUAAGAAGCCAUAAGGAGUAGUUUCUCAGACUUAAAGUGUGCGAAAUGAUACUAAAUCUUCCAUUUCCUGGAGGCCGGAUAGGAAAUGAAAAGGUAUAAAGGUAUAGUUGUCACAUUCUGUCACAGCUGAAUAUCAUGGAAAUAAUCCCAUCAGUUUGUUCCCUUCAAAAGUAGCCGGUGUUUCAUUGUGAGUUCUGCCUUCAUUAUUUCACAGGUUUAUUGUACUCUGUCACAGAGGCAAAACAUCUGUUAGCAAAGACAAGGAAGGAGAAGGAGAUCCUCUAUCUUCCUUAUGAACAUUCAAAGAAGUUCUGGUGAAUUUACUGCUGGUGAAAAGUGGCGGCUUGUCAGUUUCCAAAACCCCAGCUUUGGGGAGGCACCAAACUGUUCCUGACUAAGAGCAAACAAAUUGUGCAUUUUCUACACAGUAUAACUGCAUCUUAGUGUCAAAUUCGGCAAAGUGGAUACAGAAGGGAUGAUUCAGAAAGGACGUAAAAUUAGUAUUUUUGUUCCCCGUAAGUCAGUACAAUCAUAGAAGUCCAGAUCUGCUUGUUAUAAAGCCAAGUCGUUUCCUGAAAGAGAUUCACCUGGAGUCCAUCUUUUCAUAGAAUGUUAUUUGUGUCCAUAGAACCAGGCAAAAUAGCUCAAAUUAUAAAACUAUUUCAGCAAGAACUUAAAAAUAUCAUGUGGUUCUGUUUCCAUCUUUCAAGCAAAAUAGAUAGUACGGUCUCCAUUUUACAGAUCAGAAUCCUACUCUGUCGCCCAGGCUGGAGUGCAGUGGCA
rnacentral:lncRNA from 1 species